rnacentral:rRNA from 1 species
UACGUAGGGUGCAAGCGUUGCCCGGAAUUAUUGGGCGUAAAGAGCUCGUAGGCGGUUUGUCGCGUCUGCUGUGAAAAUCCAGGGCUUAACCCUGGACCUGCAGUGGGUACGGGCAGACUGGAGUGCGGUAGGGGAGAUCGGAAUUCCUGGUGUAGCGGUGAAAUGCGCAGAUAUCAGGAGGAACACCGGUGGCGAAGGCGGGUCUCUGGGCCGAUACUGACGCUGAGGAGCGAAAGCGUGGGGAGCGAACAGG